GACGAACCGUGCGAACGUUAUUCGGAAUCAUUGGGCUUAAAGGGCGCGUAGGCGGGCGACCGCGUCGAGUGCUGAAAGCCCCCGGCUCAACCGGGGAAUGGGCCUCGAUACGGGUCGCCUCGAGGCGAGGAGGGGGACCUGGAACUUCCGGUGGAGCGGUGAAAUGCGUUGAGAUCGGAAGGAACGCCGACGGCGAAAGCAAGGUCCUGGACUCGUCCUGACGCUGAGGCGCGAAAGCCAGGGGAGCGAACGGG
rnacentral:rRNA from 1 species